AAGCACUACGUCUACUAAAAAAAUCCUUUCAGUGGUCAUAUCCUGUGAAAGCAGACUAACAGUGAGACUCUCUGAAAAAUGACAUUGUUCAUCCCAGAUAUGGCAGCUGGACAUAUGUUUUUGGUCUUCCUCAUUUUCUAUACCUUCCAAUAUGUCAAAGCCCAAGAUCGUCCUAAGCCCAGUCUGACUCUGAAUCAUGCAGUCAUCAGAGAGAGAGAAUCUAUUCAGCUGAUCUGUGAGACUCCAUCUGUAUCUGAGUCUCAGUGUCACUUCAUCAUAGAGGGGAAACAGAUCUCACAUCCUUCACCAUGUCAGAGCACACUAACAGGAUAUCAGCUGCUUCACUGGGCAGGUCAAAGUUCACCUGUUGAGGUCAAAAUUCUAUGUUUCUACAUGGUGGAGACAAACUAUUCAUCAACACACAGUGACCCUGUCUCAUUGAGGAUUCUGGAUCAACGAAACCUCCCUCAGCCCAAUCUGAUAGUGAUUCCCACAGUUAUCAGAGAGGGAGACUCAGUUCAGCUGAGCUGUGUGACUCCUCAAUCUCUCUCUGAAUGUCAGUGUGGUUUCUAUGAAGACACGAAACUUCAUCUACCAGAACGAUCCUGUGAACAGACGGUCACAGGAACUCAGCUGCUUUCUUGGGCAGGCCAAAAAUCGUCAGCUGUGCUCCAGGUGCAGUGUUUCUACGUUGUAGAAAGAUAUUACCCAUCUCCUUCCAGUAAACCAGUCAUUGUCACAGUCCAGGGUUCAACCACUUCUUUGACCUCCAUGGCAACAUCAUCAGGUUUGACCACUCCUUUGACUCCCAGCAAGGCAGUGAAUCCUACAUCAGGUUCAACCACUUCUUUGACCCCGACAGCAAUGACAUCAGGUUUGACCACUCCUUUGACUCCCAGCAAGGCAGUGAAUCCUACAUCAGGUUCAACCACUUCUUUGACCCCGACAGCAAUGACAUCAGGUUUGACCACUCCUUUGACUCCCAGCAAGGCAGUGAAUCCUACAUCAGUGAAACCAUCAUGGCUUGCAGCAAUAGUUGUGGGUAUUUCACUGGCCAUGUUCCUGGUGGUGGGAUUAACAGCUGUCUGUCUGUAUAAGAAGACACAUAGAAGCAAAUCUCAGAGACCUCAAGCCAAACAGGACAAACAUAAGCAACAAUUAGUGAUGACAACCGAAAGCAGUGGAACUAUGGUGCAUUCAGGGGAUAAGGGACCUUAUACUCUCAUCCCCACGGUGCUGACCACGUUCAUGCCCUCAGGUCCUGUUGGAGAAAAUGAAGAAUCCUCUGAAUAUUACAAUUUUGACACAGACCAAGUGUACUGUUCAAUCCCUGACAGAACAGCAGCCUCAGCCCAGACAUACUACAACAUUGGCUUUCUGUAGAUAGUCUUCUGUACAGUUGCAUGUUUUAUUUUUGCUCUCUAUUCAAUCUCUUUGGAUUUGAAAUAUAACAAUGACAAUGGGAUAAAAAUAUAGAUAUAGAACAAAUAAAGCAUUGGUGAGUUUAGCAUUAUCAAACAACUUAGUAGACCCAAGAAGACAAUUAGUGGAUGACCAAAGAAUACUUUUAAGAUGAUGGAAAAACAUCCAACAACAGUCCAACAGACCUGGAACAUUUUCCAUGAGGUUGAGACUCAAAACAGUCAGUAAUGUAAGUUCUCAUUUUGAACUUAUUCAGCAACUCAAUCUCCUACAAUUUAAGUCCAAGAAUUAAUUAAAUGCUGGGAGACCAUUUUUUGUUUUAGAGUUCUGUUCUAAAACAACUACAGUAUAUACAGUUCAGAUUAGUUUUUUGCUUUGUAUGAAAUGCUCUCUGCUGUAAGAAAGCAAUAAUACUUUUUCAUUACAAAUAUUGAGGUUUGUUAGUACUUACUUAUCUCAUUCUUUCAUAGUCCAUAGAACUGCCUUGUCAUCAACAAAACAUCUUGAGUCCGUUUUCCCAGAAAGAGAUUAAGCAUUGAACUGCAACUCCUUUUCUUGAGAAAUUUCCCUUGACAUUUUAUAGUCAAGAAAUUCUUAACUAGUGCAAACAACAUGGUUCAUCGGAACAAGUCCUUACAGGCACCACUCUACACUAGACACUUCCCAUUAGUAUGAUGUUAAUUACUCGUCUCCAUUGUUCUUCCUUUCAUUUUUUGCUCUAAUCAGCUUACUUCAAUUUUUCUGGUAUUUAACAUCAAUCACAACAUAUAAAGGAAAGUCUUUAACUUUUUAGAUCACAAUACUUAACCACAAGUAUAUUUUUGUUUUUGUUCACAAAUGCAAUUAAAUCAGACAUUGAUUUUUAAUAUUGAACUAAAGCUAAGAGCAGUACAUUAAUACAAAGCGGACGCAAAGGAAAAUAUCUAGACACAUGACACAGAUGUGUCAUCCUUUUUAUAUUCUGUUGUGGACAUUAUGAAACCUGAUGCAUUCUUACUGUUUAAAGGACUGAGUCCCAUUGUUUGGAUGUGAGAAUGAAUGAGUUACUAGUUAAAGAUGCCGAGAGGGACAUCUGUCCUAGGGGGACAUCCUUUACCAGCAUCCUUGAUCAGCACCAGUGGAUUAGAUGGUUACUCAUAAAUCAGUAAAUCUGUAUAACCCUUUAGUGUCUCUGUUGAUUAUACAGACAUUGCCUCUCCUUAGGAGUUAAGGAUAAGGUGGGGGGACAGCCCGCCCUUUGGGUAAAUGUUACACAUGACAGAUGGGCAAUAAUUUACCACACCCCUUUUUGUAUGUGUUAUAUACUGUUGUAUGAGCUAUAUUGAGUUAGAGACUCCUCGGACGAUUAUGUUGGGAAGCGGUUGACGCGUCUCUCUUAUUUGCAAAUAAUAAAUAAACUGUUAAAUGGUGCGUCUCUGUACUUCCUUAUUAAAGAGUUCUGAUCG
ensembl:lncRNA